rnacentral:rRNA from 1 species
UUUUGAUUUAUUUUUUAAGUUAUUUUUGUAAAAUGUUUUAAUUUGUUUUUUUUUCUUAGGGUGUUAAAAGUUUGUUUUUUGAACUGGAUUAGUACCCAGGUAAUCAAAAUUAAUUAAUUCGGGAGUAAAGUUUUGUUUAAACCGAAAAAAUAUUGACUGACUUUAGAUUUUUCUUUGGAACAUGUGUUUUUUGGAGAGCCCUCCUUUUUAGUUAUUUUUAUCGGCACAUGUAUGAUUGUUUAGUUUUUAUUUUAUUUUGUAAUGCUUUUUUUGUUUUUUACAUUUAAAACAGAUAUAUAUUUGGCUUAUGAAUUUAUUUUUCAUGUGUUACUAUUAUGAAUUGUUUUGGAUUGAUUUUUUAUUUUUUUUUUGAAAUUGGAAAAGAAAGUAAUUUUUUUUUGAUGUUAUAGUGAAUUAAAUAAAUAA